GUUUGAUCAUGGCUCAGGAUGAACGCUGGCGGCGUGCUUAACACAUGCAAGUCGAACGGGAAAUAUUUCAUUGAGACUUCGGUGGAUUUGAUCUAUUUCUAGUGGCGGACGGGUGAGUAACGCGUGGGUAACCUGCCUUAUACAGGGGGAUAACAGUCAGAAAUGGCUGCUAAUACCGCAUAAGCGCACAGAGCUGCAUGGCUCAGUGUGAAAAACUCCGGUGGUAUAAGAUGGACCCGCGUUGGAUUAGCUUGUUGGUGGGGUAACGGCCCACCAAGGCGACGAUCCAUAGCCGGCCUGAGAGGGUGAACGGCCACAUUGGGACUGAGACACGGCCCAGACUCCUACGGGAGGCAGCAGUGGGGAAUAUUGCACAAUGGGGGAAACCCUGAUGCAGCGACGCCGCGUGAAGGAAGAAGUAUCUCGGUAUGUAAACUUCUAUCAGCAGGGAAGAUAGUGACGGUACCUGACUAAGAAGCCCCGGCUAACUACGUGCCAGCAGCCGCGGUAAUACGUAGGGGGCAAGCGUUAUCCGGAUUUACUGGGUGUAAAGGGAGCGUAGACGGUGUGGCAAGUCUGAUGUGAAAGGCAUGGGCUCAACCUGUGGACUGCAUUGGAAACUGUC
rnacentral:rRNA from 1 species